rnacentral:rRNA from 1 species
UGGGGGAUAUUGCACAAUGGGGGGAAACCCGUGAUGCAGCAACGCCGCGUGAAGGAAGAAGGUCUUCGGAUUGUAAACUUUGUCCUUGGUGAAGAUAAUGACGGUAGCCAAGGAGGAAGCUCCGGCUAACUACGUGCC